rnacentral:rRNA from 1 species
UACAGAGACCUCAAGCGUUAUUCGGAAUCAUUGGGCGUAAAGCGUACCGAUAGGUGGUUGAUUAAGUCUUGGGUAAAAGCCAGAAGCUUAACUUCUGAGUUUGCUUAAGAUACUAAUCAGCUAGAGGGGCAAAUAGGAAGCUGGAACGAGCGGUGUAGUAGUGAAAUGCGUUGAUAUCGCUCGGAACACCGAAAGCGUAGGCAGGCUUCUGGGUGCCACCUGACACUGCUAGGACGAAAGCGUGGGGAGCGAAUGGG